CGGGGUAGGAGUAACGCGUGAGGAACCUGCCUCAAAGAGGGGACGAACAGUUGGAAACGACUGCUAAUACCGCAUAAGCCCACAGCUCGGCAUCGAGCAGAGGGAAAAGGAGCAAUCCGCUUUGAGAUGGCCUCGCGUCCGAUUAGCUAGUUGGUGAGGUAACGGCCCACCAAGGCGACGAUCGGUAGCCGGACUGAGAGGUUGAACGGCCACAUUGGGACUGAGACACGGCCCAG
rnacentral:rRNA from 1 species